AGCGCAGACGGUUUAUUAAGUCUGAUGUGAAAGCCCGGAGCUCAACUCCGGAAUGACAUUGGAAACUGGUUAACUUGAGUGCAGUAGAGGUAAGUGGAACUCCAUGUGUAGCGGUGGAAUGCGUAGAUAUAUGGAAGAACACCAGUGGCGAAGGCGGCUUACUGGACUGCAACUGACGUUGAGGCUCGAAAGUGUGGUAGCAAACA
rnacentral:rRNA from 1 species